rnacentral:rRNA from 1 species
UACGUAGGGUGCGAGCGUUAAUCGGACUUACUGGGCGUAAAGCGUGCGCAGGCGGUUUUGUAAGCCAGAUGUGAAAUCCCCGGGCUUAACCUGGGAAUGGCAUUUGGGACUGCAAGGCUGGAGUGUGGCAGAGGAGACUGGAAUUCCCGGUGUAGUGGUGGAAUGCGUAGAUAUCGGGGGGAAUACCAGUGGCGAAAGCGGCACCCUGGCGUCGUACUGACGCUCAUGUGCGAAAGCGUGGGGAGCGAACGGG